CUUACAUGUUUAAGAUGAUUUUUAAAAGGUAACGAAACAAACAAAACCCCCCAAACCUUAGUUAGGGACUGGGAUUCUAUUUGGGCAUCCUGUUUCUCCCCUUCCCUCUCUACCUGUCCUUCCUACCUACCCUGCCAAAGCUGCUCUGAGACAAGUCUGUAUAUAGUCCCAUGCUGUUUACCCUUGGGAGCUCUCAGCCCAUGCUCCACCCUGGCCAUAUCCGCCCUCUUUACCCAUUCAUUUCUGUCCCCUCUGAGCAGAGGUGAGGGAGGCCACGUCACACAUGCAGUCUCAGCUGGGGUGGCAGCAGCUACCGGGACCCCCUUUCCUUAGAAGCAGUCAGUCAAGUGGGAGUUCCUUUUCUCAGUUCCUGGAUCACAUCUGCUUAUUAAGAAAAAGUAUUUUAAGACUUGAAAAUGAGGCAAAAGGUGAUGGCAUGUCAUUUCAGUGUUAACUCAAAAAGAUAACCCCAAAGGUUUCAGUUUAUUAUUCCCUAGGGCAUUAACCAGUUUUGUACUAUUUUGUAUUAACCUAGCACUCAAAUUCUAACAGUCCUUUAUGAAAUUGCUAUAAAUAUCAAGUUCCCCAAGUGUUCCUGGAAUUAUAUUACUAUUUCCAUCAUUCAUUAAUGAAUUGAAUGAAGUAUUUGAUGUGCUCAUUUCAAUCCUGUAAUAGUUAUCUAUUGCUGGGUAACAAAUUAUCCCAAAUCUUAGUGGCUUAAACAAAUAAUAAACAUUUGUUAUGUUACACAGCUUCUGUGGGUUGGGAAUUCAAGAGCAUUUUAGUAGAAUGAUCUAGCUUGGGUUCUUUCAUGAGAUUGCAAUCGGCCAGGACUGCAGCCAACUGUAGGAGCCUGGGCGGAUCUGCUCUCCAAGAUGACUCCCUUAUGUGGGUGACAAGCCAAUGGUCACUAUUGGCAGGAGGCCUCAGUCCUCACCAUGGGGACCUCACCAGAUACCUGCGUGAGUUUCCUCAUGACAUGGCAGCUGGCUUCCCCCAGAGCAAGUGAUCCAGGAGAGAAUAGGGGAAAGUCACAGCGUCUGCUAAGACCUAGAAGUUACAUCCUGUUGGUCACAUUAGUCAGUCCUGUUCAUUGUGGGAAGAGGUGACACAAGGGCAAGAGUACUGGAGGAUGGGGAUCAUUGGGGGAAGUCUUAGAGGCUGGCUACCAACAUCCUCCCUCUGUGCCCCAGUGAUUCACGUCCUACCCACACACAAAAUGUGCUUAGCCUCCCCCAGGGCCCCCAGUGCAGUAGAGUAUCAGUUUGAAGUCCAGAAUUUCAUUAUCCAAAUUAGAUCCAGAUGUUCUUGAGGCUCCUUAGGUGUAGUUCCUUGAAUCCUCAAAGCCAGGUCUGAAAUUUGUGAACUAGAGAGACAAGUUAUCUGCAAUAAUAGGACAAGCAUAGCAUAAUUACUGAAGACCCUCCUGUUCAACAGAGUUGGAAAUUGGGGAUGCACGGAAGUCACUGGUUCAUAGCAAUUCUGAAAUCCAGUAGGGUACAAAUUGACAUUUCCUGGGAAUAAUUUUCCACAGCUCUUGGAUUUACUCUGCAGGCUUUUGGUUUUACCCUCUGAGUCAUCCUUCCUUUUCCUGUAUUUGUGUAGUUUUCUCAGCCUGCUUCUGCCUUGUACAAGUUUCAGGGUCCAAAGACAUCUUUUCAGUUUGUGCUGUCUGUCCCUUUCAGCUCAAGCUGUCAGUGCUUCUUCCAAUAUAAUUCUCUUAAAAACCUUGUGGAUGACCUGUGAAUCUCACUGCGGGGUGGGGGGCUCACUCCAUUAGAGGAAAAAAAAAGCUUCACCUACAAAUAGCUCCAAUAUAUGCCCUGAAAGGACAGGGUUGUUGAAGUGCUCAGUCUGUGGCAUUUGUUAUUUGUAUGGCAGCCCGAGCCGACUAAGGCACAGUCACACUCUUGGGUUCAUCUUUAGACCAGAUUUUCCUGAUGGUGCCUGUACUUGAUUUUUACCUAAGAGCCCUUUAGAUUUAACAUCAUUUGCCAUCUGGAGAAGGUGAGAAUUUUCAAAAGCAGGAAGUGCUGCCUCUCUUUUUUUUUAACAGUCCUGCCUUUAGCUCAUUUCUCUUGUCUCACUUUUUACCAGAAGCAGCAAGAAGAAAUCACUCUUCAGUACUCUGCUUGGACCAUCUCCUUUGCUAGACCACCCCAUGCCUAAGGUGCUGCUCCAUUUCAUUCCUUCAGAACCUUAUGAAGUAAGCUCACUGAUUGACCAGAUGGACCCUGGUGGAGGCAUGCAGGGAUCAACUCAGGUGUCUCAUUUCUGUUCCCAUCUGAACCUGAAUCCAGGCAUUUGCAAGGAGCCUGUGACAUGCCAGGGGCAGCGGCUGCUGCUGCCACAGCCAUCAUCCCUCCAUCUCAGGGGCCCUUAGAGCCCCAUGGCCUGAGCCACCUUUGUGCAUGGCAGCCAGAGGGGCCUGGCGCCACCCCAUCACAACCCCUGCUGGAAACAGCUGCCCGCCCUCCUGUUGUUGGGAGGGAGCAGCAUUUGCUCCCCGGCACUGUCUCUGAGAGCAGCCUUGGCCAGAGAAAGGUUGGCGGAGUAGAGUUUGUUCAUCUGUUCCAUCUGCUCCCACCGCCAUGGAAGAGGUCACGACGGCCCACUUAUGUGCAGCCAGUAAAUCUAUGAAAAGAAACAAAGGACUCGAAUCGACAUUGCCAAGGCCCACAGAUGGAACUUCAUGAGUCAGGUCUUCUCCUCAUGUGCGUCACCCACCAGAAUCAAAAGCACCUUUGCUGGUCCCAGGAGAGAUCUCUCUUCCCACCAAGGAUAGAGGCCCCCAGCUCAGUUGGACCUCACUAAGCAGGGAGAGUUUAAGCCUCUGUCGCCAACCCGACGGCUGAGGACCCAGGGCUUCAGUGGAAAGCUGGCAGCUUGUCGCCUGUGAAGCACCCUCUUCACCUCGGAUGAGAGCGGGGGUGGGGAAUGGAGCUGAAGAAGGUGUGCAGCCAGGUCUCCUUGAAGGAGAGGAAGAGCUGGCUGGUCAUGAUGCAACAAGGACACCCAGGAGCAGGCUAAAAUUCCCCCAGUGAUAUUGGACUGGCCCCUCCUCAGGCCCAGGAGAACUGGAAAGGAUUGGACCCCGGCUUCAGGAAAGGGUGUGAGAAAAGGUGGUUCCCUUUAUCCCGCAGACCAGCAAGGAUCAGUGGUCUCAUGAAGAAAGGUGGUCCAUGGCUGACGGUGCUGGGUUUCCUGCAGGCGUAACGCAGGAGGGAGCGAGGCCCGUGUUCACAGCCUCCAUCAUCUCUCACCGGCUCUUGUUUACAAAGUGCCAACCCAGGCUGCAUGCUGCUCUGGGCCUUCCUGGAAGGGGUCAUUCAUCUGGGAGGAAAGUAGGGGUCCCUGAGAAUGAUGAAGGGCGAUGGAGGGCGGCCACCAGGGCCUCCUACCUCUGUGUUUCCCAGAAGAAGGUCACAAGAUGGCAGGGACCAGCCUCGGUCCAGGGAGCACCUCCUCAGGCAGAAGCUGGUGGAACUUCGGGUUCUGACUCCCAAGUUCAAUGGCACCAGCGACGUGUAGCUCUAACUUGUGACUUCUCCUGCCUCUCUCUGUGUGUGCCCAUGGGGGUGGCCUGAGGAAAUGCCACUGCUUCCUGGCAGUGCUGAGAGCUGCCCUCUGUUUACAUGGAUGAAUCUAGAAUGAAGAUGGCUAAUCACAACAAUGGCUAAUACUUUUGGAAGGCCUACCGUGUGCCGGAAAGAAGUGCUUGUAAUGGAUUAUUUCACUUAAAGCAGUCUUUCAACACGUAUCCUGUGUGCCGGCAAGGUUCUAGGCACUGCAAUGCAGCAGUGGAUGAAAGAGACAGAAUCCCACGGAUGAACAACAUGUGGUCUGUACACACGACGGGACAGUAUUCAGCCUUAGAGGAAGGGAAUUCAACCACGUGCUACAACAUAGAUGAACCUUGAGGACGUUGUGAAGGAAAUAAGCCAGAUACAAAAGGACAGAUACUGCAGGAUUCCACUUACAUGAGAACUUCCUUUGAGUCUUUGUCAUCUCGGUCUCCUGCCCUCCCCGUGCUCUUGCUUUUUGCCUGCUGAGUUGUGAGAAUCAAAGAUCAUCACACAGAUGGAAAAAACAGGGAUGCGAGCAGGUGCUGGUGCUGGUGGUUGACCGGUCACAGGGCCAGUGGAUUCUAUCCCCCGUCCCCUACGGACUCAUCCUAUCCUCACAUCCACCGCCUGCCUCUCCGCAGCCCUGUCUCCUCCUAAAGACUGUCUUCAGGGCACGUCCAGCACAGGUGACUCAUGGUCCCUCCACUGGUGCCAGAUGUCAGCUGUCCCUCGUCCUCUGGCGCCAGCAUUUGUGGGAACAGCCUCUAUGUCUAUCCUGCAUGAACUUGGGAGCAGAACUCAGAAAGCAUCCCCUCACGCAAGAGCAGAAGUCUGCGUAGUAGGAUUUCCAGAAGCUCUCCCAAGGGAGGCGGUGUGGGCGUUUACAUCACAGCAAACUGCUUAAAGAUCCAUUUCAGGUGUUUCGCUUCUCGAAAAGCUUUUUCUAUCUCCCUGUCCCCAGGAAGUGCCCGACCUGGGUGGCGGUCCUCUCCUCGUUCAUUACAAGCGGAGCAGCCCUGCCCAGCCUCCACUCCCAAACUUGCAGAAAACUCUGUACAGACCAUAGUGAAACAAAGAGUGACGGGGUUAACUAGACCUACUUUCAUUUUAAAAGGCCGCUUUAUGAUCAUUUCUGAUAAUCAUGUCAUUCACCAUAAGUGACUUAUCAAAAUAUUUUUUUCAAAGAGAUGUCUCUGCCUAAGAAAAAUAAUAAUUUUUAUUUCACUACUGAGUUUUUAAUUGGAGGUUGUAAACGUCGUGUCAUAUUUAACGCUCAUUAGACUCCCUCCCUUUGGAUUCCAGUAAACAUCACACUGUCUGUUAAUGUGCUCAGGAGAUCCUGUUUGGAUGCCAAGCACUGACCUGGAAAGCUGGCUGGGGCAGGAACUGGUAUGUAGAGGAAGCGUGGAAGAGGGGCCCUUUGGAGGGAGGAAGAGGUGCUACCAGCACACAUCUGGAUGCUGAUUCCACUUCCCUCCUGCCUCCCUUCAGGGCCUUCCCGUUGCUUCCAAGGAAAAGCCCACACCUCUUAGCUAGGUGUGCAAGGCCCCCGCCCACAGUUGAGCAUCAACUGGAAUUUCAGACCUCACCUCCUACCAUUUCUCUGCACCUUAACCAAGCUGAGUAUUCCCGUGUAAUGCCAUUCAUUGGGUGUUCUUAAUGUGGUCCCUUACACUACUGAGUGCUCUAGGGUCUUGUAACAACUGAGGGCACGCCCUGCUCCUGCAGCCCCAUCCCAUCCAUGGAGGGCAAACCUUUAAGCUGCGGCAGGCUAGUCUCCUGGGCCUGGAUCCCUGAGGCUUCCCCACCAGCACGGUUACCUUGGAAACCGUGCAACCCUGCCCCCCACACCCUCGGAGGUGGGCGUGAGUAGCAGGGUCAGAAGCCAUAGUGUCAUUGCAUAUUGAUUCAACCAGGUUGUGGAAAUAAUGGAUUAACACUGGACUGGAUGAGAAUUUGUCCCAGUAACCUGGGCCAUGUUGCCAGGCCUUUGAGGUGCAGCAUGAGUUCUCUUACCCUCAGGCCAUCCCCCGAAUUCCUGGCCUGUCACCACAUACCUUGCAGUGGUGUCUGUCCUGGACCUGCGUCAGAGGCCGAACUCUGUUGCGUCCUGCAGUGAAGCCUGGGUUAGAUGCUGCUGGGGAAGGACCAGAGGAGAAUCAUCUUGGGACCUAACCUCUGGCACUGCCAGACUAAUCGUGAAGGUUCUGGAAGGCCCGUGGGCACUUCGCGAAGCCUGAGGGUUUUGCUGACACCAUGAAUCUCUCUAGCAGACGCCUGGCUGAGGCACACAGAGGCUCUGGAUGAACGUUCCCAGCUUCUCUGCCCCUUCCACUGCUGUCCAUGGAGCUCUGCAAACUCACCUCCCACUUAGGGGUCUUUUCACCCCCUUUCUGCCAGGAGACGCGAAGCCUGUGACUCGGAGAGGUUAAGUGAUUUGCCAGAUCCCACUGUCGACAAAUUCGCUGCAGAAUUGGGAGUGGAAUCCGUCCCUUCUGACGCCUUCCCUCCCCUCCACGGAGUAGACAGGUGCACUCCCUCGGCUGGGGCAGCCCCCGAGACCUCUGGGGCGGGUGGAGUCCAGCCUUGCGACACCCCUGUCUUCGUACCUGGCCUCCUCCCCUCCCCGUCCUCUGGGAACCUGCCUUGUCCAGAGGCAGCCACACACCCUUGUCCCAGGAGAUUUGUCUUUCUGUUGCUUCCACCCGGAGGGCCUGGUUCCACCUCUGGGGUCAGUACCGUCAUUCUGGUCCUCCUACAGUGACGACAGUCCUCACGGGAACCCAGAGGUCUGUCCUUCUGUUGUCUCUUUUCCAGGUGAAGUAACCCUGCUUCCUGCCUAUGAUUCUGACACCAAUUCCCGUGGGUGUGUUUUUUUUCUCCCACCAAGCAAUUUUUUUUUACACCACCAAGCAAUUAACUCAGUUCUGACACUACUUGGAGACAGCGUCAGAUCCCACAGAUGAAGGGCUCAGCCCCACAAGACUGCCCCCCCCCCAACCUUCAGAUGCCAAUUGCAAGUCCAGGUUGUCACCGGUGACCCACCAGCUGUCUAGUGGGCAUUCUCACAACCACCUCCUUGGGUUCGAUUAAUUUGCUAGAGCAGCUCAGAAGUCAGACAAGCAUUUUACUUACUAGAUCACUGGUUUAUUAUAAAAGGAUUAACUCAGGAGUCAGAUGGAAGGGAUGCAUAGGGCAAGCAUGGGGAAAGGGGCACAGAGCUUCCAUGCUCUCUCUGGGGGCUGCUCCCCCAAAUCUGUAUGUGUUCACCAACCCAGAAGCUCCCCAAACCAUGUCCUUUGGGGUUUUUCUGGAGGUUUCAUUGCGACUGAUUAAAUCGUUGGCCAUUGGUGAUUGACUCAAACUCCAGCUCCGCCCCGCUCCCCAGAGGCUGGGGGAGGGACUGGAAUUUCCAACCCUCCAGGCACCCUAUUCACAUAACAGAGACACCUUUAUGGCUCUCCUCCAGUAGGUAAUCCCAAGGGUUUUGGGAGCUCUGUGCCAGGAGCAGGGACUCAGACCAAAUUUAUAUUUCCUGUUAUAAAUCACAGCAUCACAGUCCUUCAUCGUGGGAAGCCUGGCGUCCAAGGGUCCCCUUCCCCGUCCGUGCGGCUGCCCUGUACUUUCCGACCACCCCAGCGCAGCUGAGCAGGAGAGGAGGCCACCGUGCUUGCGGGUCCAGCUCCGGGAGCCGCCACCACCUGCCAGCGCCACUUCCCCAGAUGUUCCUGUGCUCGGCAGUGUGGCCGGAGCCGAGCCAGCCAGGGUGUGAGCCCUGAGCCGGACGGGGAUCCAGAUCCUGGAAGCAGGAGAGGAGCGGCGGCCAGCGCCUGGCACGGGGGACGGCAACUCCGCCAGCCUGGAUCUGGGAGAAGCGCGAGGACAGCUCUGCUCCUGGAGGAACAUCAGACGCAGCCUGCCUGAGUUCCCAAAGUGAACCCCAGGAAUGCAGAUGAAGAGUAGAAUGCUAACAUGUGGGCUGAUGCCUCCCGCCAGGUACCAGGUUUGUUUUUUUAUUCACCAACUCUGCCCAUCCCUUUUAUCCUUGAGAGCUCAUUCAUGGGGGAAGGUUUGGGCCCAAUUUUAUUUUUCUUCUGCAUGGUCGCUGUGGGCUGUUCUCCAUCCAUUUCCUCAUUAGCAUCCCUGUUCCCCCUUCCCCCAUGCCUCUGCGUCGCUGCUUGGAGGGCGGGUCCGUGGCUUCUAUAAUUCUGUGCUCUCUGCAUGGCAACCAGGUGACUGACCCCUCUUUAAAGCUCAAAGGGCCGUUGCUUAAAGCUUUCUCUGAAAAAGAGCGCCCUGCCCAUAGUCGAGCUCAAUGGUUGUUGGAACCAAGGAGAACCUUUGAAGAUGCCCUCUCCUCGCCACCGGCCUCUACAAAGAAACAGACCUUUCUGACCACAGCCUCUCCACGGAGUUUGCCCUACUUAGCUAGCCCGAGGACGGCUGACUCUGAGUCAGCUUCUCCACGGUCUCUGCCUCUCGGCUGUCCUGGUUUAUAUAAUAUUCAGAGUUUGGGCUGUUAGCUAGCUGUCCCCCUUCAGUCUCAGACCUGGGAUUGUGGCCGAGAGAGGUGGGCAGGGCCCAGCCGUUUCCCCAGCUGUGGACACCAUCCCAGAGAAGGCCCCCGUUUUAGCUGCAACACAGCAGAGGGGGACCAGCAAGGACACUGGUGGCCACCAUUCAAUCCAUUUCUUCAAGCCUCAAUUUCUUUAUUGAAUGUGACGUUGAGAAGCGUGGCCCAUGAAGUCGACCGGGUAAUGAGGUAAACAUCCAGCAUGAUGUGCGUACGUGGUAGGUGGAAUGGGUUGAAUAGUGAGCCCCCCAAAUUCAUGUCCGUCUGGAACCUCAGAAUGUGACCUCAUUUGGAAAUAGGGUCUCUGCAGAUGCAGUUAAGGUAAGGAUGGAGAUGAGAUCGGCCUGGAUUAGGGUGGGUCCUGAGUCCAAUGAGAGUGUCCGUAUAAGAGACAGAAAAAGACACAGGGACACAGAGAAGGCGGCCGUGUGAGGACUAGAGGCAGAAAUGGGAGUGUUGCAGCCACAAGCCAAGGAAUGCCAGGAGCUGCCAGAAGGUGAAAGAGGCCACAGAGGGUUCUUCCCUAGAGAGGGUGGCCCUGCUGACACCUUGGCUUUGGGCCUCUGGCCUCCAGACUGUGAGAGAGACAUUUCUGUUGUUUUUAAGCCACCAAGUUCGUGGUGACGUGUUACAGCAGCAACAGGAGACUAAUACAGGAUGUUCUUAAGGGACAGCUAUUACCUUCUUUCUUUUUAGGAGAAGACUGGACUGUUUAGAGACUUGCUGGGAAAGGAGGAGGGGAGGGCAGUUGGAGGGAGGAUCCAGCUGGGGACAGAGGGGCCCGAGGGGGAAGGCUUUGCAGGGCAGGGCAGGGCAGGGUGUGCGAGGGCGGAGGUGCUGGGAAUUAACGCUUUGAGGAGUUGACCUGCCCCUUCCUAUGUUUCCUGCUCCCACCCACACCAACACACUCCCCGGGGAGUAGGGGUGGGGACACAGUGCAUUCCAUAGGUUCAGAAAGUCAGUGGACACCCCAGAGCCCCUGGCCCCCUGAGCCAAGACUGGACGAUGUUCAGAGGUGGCUUAACUGAGUCUGGACCUGCCGUCUCCGCAGGUGAAGGCUGAGCAGCUAGGUGGGGGUGCCCACCUGGCUGUGACCCGCUCGGCUGCCCAGGGGCACAGGUGCCAACGUAGCAGAAGUUGACAGAGGCCCCAGUGCAGUUUGCUAAGUUACAAGGGACCAAACUGCGGGGACCCCUGGUAUUUGGGGUGUGUUUAACCUUUGCAAGCUUCUGGCAAGGGACACGCAGCAGCGCUUACCCGGCACGUCUCUGCGGUGCCUGGGAAGCAAAGCCUGCUGUCUCUAGGUUGUUUCACACGGUGUAGCCUGGGCUCCCGAGCCUGACUUGGUUCCAUCAGGAGGGGAGGUGUGGCCCCCGCUUCCCACACCACGGGGUCAGUUACAUGCAGCUCACUUGUGUCGCUUUUACGGGUCUCAGAAGCCAAGGGCAGUCCGUUCUCUCCCUCAUCCUUGUUACUGUCUCCAUCUUCAAGAGUUUGGUUCUCAAACACUGGACCAGCUUUGAAGAGACGAGGCUGGAAGAACUAAAUCUCCAGUCCCGCCAGAGGGCUACGUGCCGCAGCUCCCGCGCCCGCCGGGGAGAGAGACUAGGGUGCAGCCAUGAGAGGUUGGACCCGGGCCUUCCCUGUCGGGGGCGGCCUGCUCUGACCUCAGCCUUGCUCCCCGGGAGAGCACCCCCAGCACAGCCUCACAUGGGGCUGGAGCCCCGGGGCAGCCAGACCUCCCGGUGGUUCAUGCGGGAGCUCUCUCAAAGGCAACGGUGAGGCAGGGAAUGCCAGGCAGGAAGGAAUGCUAUCAGAUUCACCUUUUUAAAAAGAUCGUCUUGGGACUUCCCUGGUGGUGCAGUGGUUAGGACUCUGCGCUUCCACUGGAGGGGGCCCGGGUUCCAUCCCUGGUCGGGGAACUAAGAUCCUGUAAGACGAGUGGCAUGGCCAAAAAAAAAAAAAAAAAAAGGAACGUCUGUGGGUUUGAGAGAACAGAUGAACAUGGGGGACAGUGGAGGCAGGGGUGCAGGUGAGGGCGAAGCAGAGAGCAGCCUCGAUGAAGACGAAGGUGAGAGCCGGUUCAGAGGUGAACUCGGACCUGAGUCAGCGGACCGCACGUGCGGCAAGGGGGUGAGUUUUCACGCACAGACCCUGCGCGCUCCUGGAUAAAUCAGACCAAGCACACAGCAGGCAUGAGAGAAAAACUUGCUCGGUCCUUCCCCCUAGCGCCCACCCAGAGCCUCACCUGCACCACGUCCUACAUUUCCCACCCUUCCCCCUCCAUGCCUGGGUCUGCAGCUCCAGCAGCCAGGCUCCCUCCCCGACUUUUUUUUUUCCAGUUGAAAAUACUGCAGAUGUCACCGAUGGGCCAACCCAGACUUGUGACUCUCUAACUCUACGGAAUGUGUAAUUAUAGCAACACAAGCGUCAAAUUACCAAGGACAAGUAGCUGCAAAUAGCACAGAGUGAAGAGCAAAAGCCCUUUUUCACCCCCGGCCCAACCCUGCUUUCCCACAAGCCCAGGAAUAGUCAUUGUUAACAGCGUUUAAUGCCCCAUUCCUAAAUCACAUAAGCAUCCUAUAUCGUGAUUCAUCAUCUUUGUGGAAGACAUUCCUCCCAGGCCUGGUGGUCCUUGAAAAUUUAUUCACGUUAAGAGGUGGAUACAAGAAAUGGAUUGGAGCCCUUUGUGCACAGGUGGGGCCUGUUAAUUGUUUGGGGAACUGUACUGGAAGAGGAAGGGGUGGUCCGCAGGCUUUUUCCUAUCUUUGGGUCUUACUGUUCUUGGGGGUGUUUCCAUUUCUUUAGUGAAGACUCCUCCAGUUUCCUGACCGGGAGUGUAACCCUGUUUGCUGGCGUUCUGGGACUGGGAAGGAGCAGGGAGCUAAUUGUCUCAGCAGUCUGUGUGCAAACCUUAAAUGAAUUCCCCUAAGUCUGGUCACAGGACCACCCAUGGCCACCCUCCUCAUGCCUGGCACCUGUGAAUUGGUUCAAGCUCUUAGCACUGCUGGGGGAUGGGUGAAUUGGUUGUGGGACUAGGUGGGGUCAGGAGCUGGGAAUCUAAGCUCUCCUCCUCCUGACUUUCAAACGACCUUCCUGCUUCCACUUCUUCCCUUUCCCUGAAACUGCGCCCCCUCCACCACCUGUGCCUCCAGAUCCAGAGGCUUCCUGGGCUUCACGGCCAAUCUGCUUUCUCUGGACCCAACUCACCACUGUAGGCUCUUAGGUAUGACAUUCCUGCUCCCAGCUUGGUCAUUUUCAUCUGCUUUUUGCCUUCAUUUUGUUCUAAGUUACAAAGAUUCUUUAGUUUCAUCAAAAAUGCAUCCAUAUUUCUGACUUUUUUCCUUUUACUAUUUGAGAUGAAUUUAAGAAGAAAAAAUUGACAGGAAUGUCUUUAUCUGAUAUCUAGAAACUCAUUGGAAACAGUAUUAAGUGAAGAUCACUGAAAGACAUGUAGUCCUUCCAUACAUCUAGAUCAUCUAAAAAAAUUCUUUGAAUUUAGCCUGAGCCACAGAGAGCUGUAUACCUGAAGGCUAUUGCAUUGGCUUCCUGAGUUACUGAGUUGCACAUUAAUGUGAUGCUACCAGCUUGUAAGUCCCAAGGAGCUCAUUGCUGUGUGUCCAGUAAGGAAGCUUUGAAGGACAUUGAUCAUUGAAAUAAACAUUGUUCUCUCAAAAGGAUCCUCAAGAGAAUUUACUUGUCCUAUCUUUGUAUACUGUCCAGUUUAUUAUUAUUAUUAUUAUUUUUAAUUGAGUGAUUGGUUUGCUUUUACUCUUUGGUGUGUAUGUUUCCCUUUUCCCAUUGGCUUCUAGGCAGCUCAGAGCACAAUUUUGGGCUUGCUUUUAGCAAGGAUAUAGAACUUAGUUUUGUGUUCUAGUCUCAUUUUUGUUAGUAUUUUAUCUCCUCCUCUUGUUUACCAUUGCCUUUGUUUUUUCUUCCCUCUCACCCACUCCUAAUUCUUGUCGUGUUGCUCUGUUUUAUAUGUGGGUUGCCAAUAGCUUUAACUCUUUUUUGUACCAUAGAGUUAUUGAAAUAAGUAAGUAGAAAAUUGAUAAUAGAAAUGAAUGAAUGCAGAAAUAUUCACAAUUUUGUAUUGUUUGAUGUAUGCCCUCUUUAGUCACAGAUUUGGUCAUUUCUUACUAUUGGUCUAAUUUAAUCUUUUCCUUUUAUAGAUGAGGCAAGUGUGGUCUAGAUAAAUUGAUGUAGUCAACAUCAGGUACCUUCAAAUUGUUGUGAUACCAUCACAACCCUCCAUCCAUAGAAUUCUUCGCAUUUUGCAAAACCGAAACUCUGUACCUAUUAAACAAUAACUCUUCAUUCCCCACUCUCAUGGUAACCAGCAUUGUACUUUCUGUCUCUAUGAAUUUGAGUGCUCUAGAUACCCCCACAUAAGUGGAGUCUACAGUAUUUGUCUUUUUUUGUGUCUGGCUUAUUUUACUUAGUGUAACGUCUUCAUGCUACUUGUAGUAGCGUGUUUCAGAAUUUCCUCCCUUCUCAAAGCUAAAUAAUAUUCCAUUGUAUGCAUAUACACAUUUUAUUUCUCCAUUCCUCUAUCGAUGGACUCGGGUGGCUUCCGUUUUUUGCCUGUUGUGAGUAAUGCUGCUGUGAACAUGUGUGUACAGAUACUCUUCCUGUGUUGCCCCUUUACAGCCACACCCACCUCCCUCCCCCACCCCCUCAUUAACCACUGGCAACCCCUAAUCUGUUAUCAUUUCAACAGUGUUGUAGAAAUGCAGUCAUACAGUGUAUAACGUUUUGGGAUUGGCUUUUUCACUUUGAAGAAUUCCCUGGAGAUUCAUCCAGUGCUUACGAUACUGGAAUGACCAGUCUUGGGCAUGUGUCCUUGGAGACAUGGGCAAAAGCAUCUAAUAUCGAAAGUUCUAUACUCAAGAAGGGGCAUAGGUCAUGAGAAUAUUCAACUUUACUAGAUAUUGCCAAGGUUCUAUCCAAGGAAGAUGCUACCAGUUUAUACUCCCACCAGCAAUUUAUGAGACUUCCUUUUUCUCCACAUCAAAGAAUCCGAUUUUUGUUCUGAGAAGAUCACUCUGGCUGCAAAGUUAAAAGUGAGCUGGGUGGGGGUAGGGAGGUGUGCAAGGGGGGUCCCGGCACGUGGAGAGCUAAGAGGCAGGCCAGCCAAGCUUCCUCAGCUCCAGACUGGUGGUGGAGGACUUCCUGAAUGACCCUCUGCUGCCUGUUCCCAUUUUCCCUUUUAUCAUCAGGCUGGCAAGAACAGAACUAUCUGCUUCUCAAUCAAAUAGCAAAUUAUGUGGGCAACCGAACUGCUGUUCUUUGUAGAAAAUUAUUAUUUAUUUUUUAUUUAACAAAAGUCAAGGCUGAGAGGGUGCUCCACGGUGCCCUUCUGUGGUUUUAGUGUUUCCUCUGCUUUGGCUCAGCCCCGGCUUGUUUAUCAUGCAUGUGUUGUAUUGCAAAUGUGGAACAAAUGAAGCUGAGAUAUCAAAUUAAUACUGUGAUCUGUUUUUCUGUCUUGUUGCCAUAACAAUCUGUGGCUCUUGAAGCAAAGAGAAAAUUAGAAUUGUAUUAAAGGUGUUUACACCAUGUA